GCCCCGUUAGCUCAGAUGGUAGAGCGCUUCUCUCGUAAAGAAGAGGUCGCCGGCUCGAUUCCGGCACGGGGCU
rnacentral:tRNA from 3 species